GUUAAAGAAACAGCGAUCUGACGUCAAAAAACUGGUAGUGCUGCAGAUACUUUUAAUUGUGUAAUUCACAGGUAAAUACAUACUUCUUUUAAGUUUUAUAGGCUCGUUUCCAGCACGCCUUAUCUACCAAUCUGUUUCAGGUCGGAAAAGGGUGCGUGAUAACGCGAGCGUGUUAUUUGUGGGAGGAAUGGGGUAAACAUGGUGUGGUUUCCCAUGCGCCUGCGCAGUGCGAUGUUUUCGCCCACUUCACAGUCCUUUCAGGCUUUCAGCAGGACCUGUCAGCGGUGACGUCAAUCAUCUCCAGCCAGCCAAUCGGCUGCAGCUGUUAUUGUUGAGCUCUCUGGGCAGUAGCAGUGUGCAUGAAUCUCUAUUCAGAGUCUCGAUGCUUCCUGCUGCUGCUUUUCAAGCGUAGGGGAUUCCACGUAGACAUAAAAGAAAAAAAAAACUUAAAAAACUUUUUUUCUGGGGGGAGAAAGUUUUUAUUUUAUUCUUUUCCCACAGCCAAGUGACUGUAGAAUUAGCAGCAAUGAGUGUGGAUGCUUUGGGGAACACAGUAAUGGACCCUACAUUUGCAAAACGGAACCCGGCGUUGAGAAUAGUAGAUUUAGCGGGGGCUCAUCAUCAUCAUCACCACCAUCACCCCCCUCAGAGCAUGACAGGCUUUCAGGGGUACGUGGGUCAUUCCCACUCAAUGGCUCAUAUGCACCCUGGGGAAUAUGCUGCAGAUUGUCGCCUAGGGCCAAGUCCUGCAUUCCGGCCAGAACACAUGGGGCAUCAUCCAGCGGCCCUCAAAAUCAGCCCUGCCCAUAAUCCACACCACCAUCACCACCACCACAACUAUCACCACCAUCAUCAUAUGGCAGGCCACGCCGAGGUUGCCUCCAGUCAAACAGGAGCUUUUGGCCCGGCUCAAUCAACUGCUGUAUCCUACGCAACUAUACCCCACACUGCUCAGGCUAUUUCUGCAGGUAGGGACUUUUUAAUAGGCAGAGAAUUGACAGUACAAGUCAUGCCAGGUCUGACUGAGCAGCAUUCUACCACAGCAUCUCACCAUGGAAUGUUUGUCUCAACAACAGGUAGCUACCCUGGACAGCAUGGGCACCAUACAGAAGAUGGGAAUCAUUCCUACUUCUCUGGACCUCAUGAGCAGCCUUCCCAUGCAACCCCAGGUGGUCAACCUCUAAACGGACAGAUAAGACUCGGGCUACCUGGAGAUAUGUACAGCAGGUCUGAUCAUUUCACUCAACCAGUUUCCAGGACAGACCCUUUUUCUUCUGCAUCUCUUCACGGCUACAGUGGCAUGAACUUGAAUAUGAACAUAACUCCACACCACGGACCCGGUGCUUUCUUCCGUUACAUGAGGCAGGCUAUCAAACAAGAGCUCAUCUGCAAAUGGAUUGAGGAAGAACAUGUGCCACCAAAAAAACUCUGCUCCAAAACUUUUACAACGAUGCACGAGCUGGUCACCCACGUUACAGUGGAGCACGUUGGUGGGGCAGAACAACCCAACCACGUAUGUUUCUGGGAAGAGUGUCCAAGAGAAGGGAAGCCCUUCAAAGCCAAAUACAAACUCGUUAACCACAUCCGAGUCCACACAGGUGAAAAACCCUUCCCGUGUCCCUUCCCCGGCUGUGGGAAAGUAUUCGCGAGAUCGGAAAAUCUCAAAAUCCACAAAAGAACUCACACAGGCGAGAAACCAUUUAAAUGUGAGUUUGAAGGCUGUGACAGACGCUUUGCCAACAGCAGUGACAGGAAGAAACACUCACAUGUCCACACCAGCGAUAAACCCUAUAACUGCAAAGUAAGAGGAUGCGACAAAUCAUAUACACACCCCAGCUCUUUGAGGAAACACAUGAAAGUCCACUGCAAAUCUCCACCUCCCAGCUCAGGCUAUGAAUCCUCUAUACCUUCUUUAGUUUCACCUUCUUCUGAUUCGGGACAGGACCCUCCAGCCGCUUCUUCACAUUCAGAACCUCUGGCACCUUCCCAAGGAGCCAACCUGAGUGAAUGAUGUCUGCCCUGUUGCUCUUAAGGUAAUCUUCUAGACAGUCACAGCUGAAAGCUUGAAUAUUAUGCUUUAGACAUCAAAGAACUUUCCCACAAAGAAGUAUUCUUCUCAACGGUGAAUCUUCAUGGAAGAAGAAACGUUACAGAUAAUGGAUUCGAAUAUAAAUGAGUAACAGGUGUUUUGUUCAUGAAGUCCCACUUAAGACAUCAUCAGCAAUUGAAAUCAUCUUCUCACAUGCUUAGCAAUGAAUAGGGUGUGAAUGUUUUGUCUUUGUUCUUGGUGUAAUUGUACUGUAUGUGUUCCGAAGCUUGAGUGUGAGAGUAACACAUUCCAAUUGAUUCCAUUCUUCAGUCAAAGCACUGUACUGGGUUAUUAGGUCUCACAAAGCGCGCCUCCAAAUAAUACUUGUAACAGUUGCUAGUGUUACCAUCAUUUAUCUUUGAUUAGGCUACAUAAUGGUCAAUCCGUUUUAGGAUUGGAAUAUAUAUAAUUAUUAAUUCAUGUUCUCGUAAUUAUUUCAUUGUAGAAUUAUUAGGAUUAUCCAAGUCAUGUAGAAAAUUGAAGUAAAAAGAAAUGAAGUUUGAAGUUUUGAGCACUAGUUUGUCUUGUGAACACUUGUAAUAGGUAAAUGCUGAGACAUCUGUUGCAUGUCAUGCAAUCUCUGAAUUUGUUAUCACAUACGUAUGAUACAAAUACAAUGUUCUUUUUUUCACGACCAAAUCAUCUCAAAUACAGUGAUAUCCAUGUUAACUUGUUUCACUCACCAAAGUUAUUUCAGGUCAAAGGCCAUUUGCUUUUAACAAGUUCAUGCCAGUGAAAUAUCAAUAGGCUACAAGACCAGAGGAGGUGUACUGAUAAAUCUGCCCUUAUGAUGUGGACAUUUGUACCCUUUUUUUGCAGCUGCUGUCCUCCGCAAUGCAAACACAGGCAAAUGGCACAUGUGUCCUGGAUACAAACUUUCUGUGGAGUAUAGAGCAGAGCUUGCUUGCACUCUUACAACACAUAUGCCAAAAGGAUGUCUGGAGGCAGAUACUGUUUCCAGAGCACUUUGUACAUUGACCUGUCUUACAUGAAUGUACUGUCCAGAUGUGGAUAUCUCAAUGAAUUGUCCGAAAGAUUACUCUUUGAAUCAACAAUAAA